ensembl:lncRNA
CUGAAUCUAAAUACAAGGCUGUAUCCAUUGCAUCCUCCUACUGGAAAACCCGCGAUGGCGGCCAAGCGCAAAGGCGGCCUGAAGCUCAAUGCCAUCUGUGCCAAGUUGAGCCGCCAGGUGGUGGUGGAGCAGGGAGCAGAGACAGGCCCCCAGCCAGAAGGCGGCCAAGGCAACCCCCUGCGGCCCCGGGAGAAGGAGCAGGGCGGUGGGGUGGAGGCCAAGGUCACCCAGACGCCUCGCAGUGAGGAGGACAGGCGGCGGGCCGUGAUCGAGAAGUGGGUGAAUGGGGAGUACAGCGAGGAGCCAUCCCCAGCCCCAAUCAUAGGGCGCAGCGUCCGCGAGGGCCUCGAGCUGCCCCCCGAGGGUGUCUACAUGGUACAGCCCCAGGGGUGCAGCGAUGAGGAGGACCACGCAGAAGAAACUCGGGGGCCCGCCUCCCAGAGCAGCGGCUUCCUGGAAGAACGGGACUCAGACGGGCCAGCGCCCAAGGAAGAGGGUGCAAGCAAUGCCAAGCAGGCUUCAGGAGAAGCCUCCUCCCUCCGAGACUACGCCGCCACCACCAUGAAUGAGUUCCUGGGCAUGUUUGGCUACGAUGACCAGAACGUGAGGGACGAGCUGGCCCGCAAGGUCAGCUUUGAGAAGCUCCACGCCACCGCGGCCCCCGAGGCCUCCCCGGUGCCCCCAGCCUCGGAGGACAGCAAGAGGCCCAGGUUCUCCAAGUACGAGGAGUACAUCCGUAAGCUCAAGGCCGGCGAGCAGCUCCCGUGGCCCACGCACAGCGCCAAGGCCGAGGAGAGAGCGGGCAAAGAAGCCGGGCCCAUGCCGGGCCUGCGGCUGCCCAGCAACACGGCCAACCUGGAGACCAAGGCCACCAUCCUGCCCCUGCCCUCUCACAGCAGCGCCCAGAUGCAGGGGCUGGUGGCCCGCGCCUCCAAGUAUGACUUCUUCAUCCAGAAGCUGAAGACCAGCGAGAGUCUGAGACCCCAGAAUGGCAACACCUACAAGAAGCCGUCCAAGUAUGACCUGGAGAACGUCAAGUACCUGCACCUCUUCAAGCCCGGGGAGGGCAACCCAGACAUGGGGGGCGCCAUCGCCUUCAAGACCGGCAAGGUGGGGCGCCCCUCCAAGUACGACGUCCGCAACAUCCAGAAGCUGGCGCCCGUCAAAGCACCCCCCGCCCCCAGCCUGGCCCCCGCACCCCUGGCCAGCGCUCCAGGCGCCGCCCCCGUGGUGGGGCCCGAGCCACCCGUCUCCCUGCCUUUCAACACCCCCGAGUACCUGAAGUCGACCUUCUCCAAGACAGAUUCCAUCACAACGGGGACUGUCUCCACCGUCAAGAACGGAUUGCCCACAGAUAAACCAGCUGUCACCGAAGAUGUAAAUAUUUACCAGAAAUAUAUUGCCAGGUUCUCUGGCAGUCAGCACUGCGGCCACAUACACUGUGCAUACCAGUACCGGGAACACUACCACUGCCUGGACCCUGAGUGCAACUAUCAGAGAUUCACCAGUAAGCAGGACGUGAUCCGUCACUACAACAUGCACAAGAAGAGAGACAACUCCCUGCAGCACGGCUUCAUGCGCUUCAGCCCCCUGGACGACUGCAGCGUCUACUAUCAUGGCUGCCACCUCAAUGGGAAGAGCACGCACUACCACUGCAUGCAGGUGGGCUGCAACAAGGUCUACACGAGCACCUCGGACGUCAUGACCCACGAGAACUUCCACAAAAAAAACACUCAGCUCAUCAACGAUGGCUUCCAGCGCUUCCGGGCCACUGAGGACUGUGGCACUGUGGACUGCCAGUUUUACGGGCAGAAAACCACGCACUUUCAUUGCAGGCGCCCCGGGUGCACGUUCACGUUCAAGAACAAGUGUGACAUCGAGAAGCACAAAAGCUACCACAUCAAGGACGACGCGUACGCCAAGGACGGCUUUAAGAAGUUCUACAAGUACGAGGAGUGCAAGUACGAGGGCUGCGUGUACAGCAAGGCCACCAACCACUUCCACUGCAUCCGCGCCGGCUGCGGCUUCACCUUCACCUCCACCAGCCAGAUGACCUCGCACAAGCGCAAGCACGAGCGCCGCCACAUCCGCUCGGCGGGGGUGCUGGGGCUGCCGGCCGCGCUGCUGGGCGCCAAGGACAACGAGCUCGAGGAGUCCAGCAACGACGACCUGGUCGACUUCUCGGCCAUGAGCAGCAAGAACUCGAGCCUGAGCGCGUCGCCCACCAGCCAGCAGUCGGCCGCCUCCCUGGCGGCGCCCGGCGAGGCCCCGCCGCCCCCCGCCGCGGCCAAGCCGCCCAACAGCAAGAUGUCCGGCCUGCUGGCGCAGGCGCUGCCCAGCAACAUCCCGCUGGCCCUGGCGCUCUCCAACUCGGGCAUGCCGGCCGCGGGGCCCUUCUUCCCCAUCCUGCCCGGACGCGUGAGCACCCCGCUGCCCGUGGGCACCCCCGGCCUGAUGGGCGCCCUGUCCUCCGGGGCCGGGGCUCCGGACACCCCCACGCCGGCCAGCUCCGGGCCCGGCGACUCCGCCCCGGCUGCCUCCACGUCGUCCCCGGCCCCGGCCGCCUCCAUCAUGGAGAGGAUCUCCGCCAGCAAGGGCCUCAUCUCCCCCAUGAUGGCCAGGCUGGCCGCCGCAGCCCUCAAGCCCUCGACGACGGCUUUCGAACAGCAGCAGAUCCCCCCUGGACGGUUCCCCCCAACCCAGGUGAAGCAGGACCCUGGCGAGAACCCCUCGACUUCCUCCUCCUCAGGUUCCCAGGAGACCUUGCAGGACCGCAGUCUAGACCUCAGUGUGAAGGACACCCCCUGUUCCUCUGGGUACUGUAUCCUCGGGUCCUCAGUUCCCCUCCCUCCUACCCUGUCCCUUUCUCCUUUGCAGAUGUCCCAAGGCAACCCCAGCCUCGGAAGCCUGCUGAGCAUCAAAACCGAGGCAGAAGGGGGCACCACCGGAGAAUCCUCUCCGUACCUGGGCAAGGCUGUGAAGAGCCUGGUUCAGGAGAAGUUGUCUGAGCCCUGGAAGGCAUACCUGCGCAGGUUCGGCACCAAGGAUUUCUGCGAUGCCCAGUGUGAUUUCUUGCACAAAGUUCACUUCCACUGCGUGGUAGAAGAGUGUGGCGCCCUGUUCAGCACCCUGGACGGGGCCAUCAAACAUGCCAAUUUCCACUUCCGAACGGAGGGAGGAGGAGUGGUAAAAGGAAACACGGAAGCUUCCUUCCCAAACACAGCGGCUGAGACCAAGCCUUCGCUAGCCCCGUCUUCGCCUCCGGCACCCUCUGUCACCACUGCAGCGGCAGCGGCGACCGCUUCCAGCCUGGAGGUGCCCACUGCCAGCCCGGCCACCAUGCCCUCUGCCCCGACCCUCCUGGCCUGGAAGCAGCUGGCUUCCACCAUCCCUCAGAUCCCUCAGAUGCCUCAGAUUCCUUCGUCGGUGCCGGGGAUGGCUGCUUCGCCCUUGGCCACGACUUCUCUAGAAAACGCCAAGCCCCAAGUCAAACCCGGAUUCCUCCAGUUCCAGGAGAACGACCCCUGCCUCGCGAACGACUGCAAAUACGCCAACAAGUUCCACUUCCACUGUCUUUUCGGAAACUGCAAGUACGUCUGUAAGACCUCCGGCAAGGCCGAAUCGCACUGCCUGGACCACAUCAAUCCCAGCAACAACCUGGUGAAUGUGCGAGACCAGUUCGCUUACUAUUCGCUGCAGUGUCUCUGUCCAAACCAGCACUGUGAAUUCCGGAUGCGAGGCCACUACCAUUGCCUCCGGCCCGGCUGCUACUUCGUGACCAACAUCACAACCAAGUUGCCCUGGCAUAUAAAGAAACACGAGAAGGCCGAGCGCCGGGCAGCUAACGGGUUCAAGUAUUUCACCAAGCGCGAGGAGUGCGGGAGGCUAGGCUGCAAGUACAACCAGGUCAACAGUCAUUUCCACUGUAUCCGAGAGGGCUGCCAGUUUUCCUUCUUGCUGAAACACCAGAUGACGUCCCAUGCCCGGAAGCACAUGCGGAGGAUGCUGGGGAAGAACUUUGACCGAGUUCCUACUCAGGGACCUCCGAGCCUGAUGGACACUGAGACAGAUGAGUACAUGGAUUACACAGGCUGCAGCCCCGGGGCGCUCUCCUCUGAAUCCUCCAACAUGGACCGAAGCUGCUCCAGCACCCCGGUGGGCAAUGAGAGCACCUCCGCAGGAAACACCAUCACCAUGCCAACCGCCUCCGGCGCCAAGAAGCGCUUCUGGAUCAUCGAGGACAUGUCUCCCUUCGGCAAGCGCCGCAAGACGGCGUCAUCGCGCAAGAUGCUGGACGAGGGCAUGAUGCUGGAGGGCUUCCGGCGGUACGACCUCUACGAGGACUGCAAAGACGCGGGCUGCCAGUUCUCGCUCAAGGUCACGCACUACCACUGCACGCGGGAGAACUGCGGCUACAAGUUCUGCGGGCGCACGCACAUGUACAAGCACGCGCAGCACCACGACCGCGUGGACAACCUGGUCCUGGACGACUUCAAGCGCUUCAAGGCGUCGCUGAGCUGCGGCUUCGCGGACUGCCAGUGGUCCGGCAACAGCACCCACUUCCACUGCCUGCGCUGCGGCUUCCGCUGCACGGACAGCACCAAGGUGACGGCGCACCGCAAGCACCACGGCAAGCAGGACGUGAUCAGCGCCGCGGGCUUCUGCCAGUUCAGCUCGAGCGCCGACUGCGAGGUGCCCGACUGCAAGUACAAGCUCAAGUGCUCGCACUUCCACUGCACGGCCCCCGGCUGCAAGCACACCGUGGUGGGCAUGUCGCAGAUGGACUCCCACAAGAGGAAGCACGAGAAGCAGGAGCGGGGCGAGCUCAUGCCCGCCGCCCCGAGGGGCGUGGGUCUCGACAGUUCCCUCAACCUGGGCGCAGACGCCGGCGGCUCCCUCUUCUUCCUGCAGAAUGCCGCCGCGGGCCUGGGCCUCAACGACUCUCUGGACCUGAGCAAGAAGCCCCCUGAGGGCCAGGGCCCCUGCCCCGCCGACCCUCCGCAGGCGGUACCCUGCGCCGCCGGGGGCCUGGACGACUCGUCCCAAGAGGAAGAGGAGGAAGAGCUGGAGGAGGCGGAGGAGGAGGACGAGGAUGACGACGACGAGGACGAGGACGAGGAGGAUGAGGAAGAAGAAGACGACGACGACGAGGACGACGACGACGAGGAGGAUCUGAACACGGAUUCCGAGGAGUCGCUCCCCGACGCCGCCCCAGGUGAAGCCCUUGGCGCCAAGGCUGGCCCGGCUGCCGAGGAGGGGGCAGAGGCCCGAGGCAGGGCGGGUCUGCGGGGUACCUGGCUUCCAGUUUAG